UGUCGGAAGCAUCGGCAGUAAGAAAACAUGUCAACAGAAUAAAAUAUUAACCAAUGACAGAGAAAAGUGCUUGAAAUCCCACCCCCGGCUCCUUUCCGCAUACCGGGUCAGCCCUGGCUGCGCCGCGGCCGGGGAGCGGCCGCCGCCGGUGCGGGGACAGCGCGGAGCCACCUCGGCGGAGCGGGGAGCGGCGCCCGGGCCCGCCCGGCCCGGAGCCCCCGGGGGGGCGGGGGGCGGCAAAGGGCCCCCGCCGGUCUGUGCGGGGGCGGCGGGCCGGGGAGCGGGGUGGGGGGGGGGAGGUGGAGCGGCCGGGGGAGCUCGGCGGCUGCCGUCUUACGACAGAUCCUGGAGAGCGGAUCGAGGUGGGUCUCGCCCCGCCCGCCGCUCCGUGCAGAGCCGCGCAAUGCCGCGCAGCGCCGCGCAACGCCGCGCAGCGCCGACGGGGCGGCCGCCAGGAGCGCGGCCCGGCCGAGAGCUGCGGGCGGCGGCGAGGCCCCGAGCGGCCACUUCCAGCGCGGAAAAACCGGAGCCCCUCAUGGCCCCAGGGCCGCAUCGCCCCACGCCGGGGGCGGCUUGCCCGCCGCUCCGCCGGGAGAUGCGGGACCCGGCCCGUCGGGGCCUGGAGGCAGCCGGGUCCCCGCGAGGAAAUGUCGUCUCUCCUCGGGCCCGGGACCCCCGCCCGCGCCCCCCCGCACCGCUGUAACGUCGCAAACGCCCUUGCCUGCAGAAUAAAACCGACCCGGAGCA